UUUUGGAGGUGAAAAUAAAUUGUCCAUCAAAAGAUACCUUGAGGCUGAGCCUGUUCACCCUAUUCUAAAGCUUGAGCGUUUUGUUGAAUCUCAAGAUUAUGUGGAAGCACAAGUUGUAUUUUGUGCAUAAUGGUGCUUAGAUAAUUUGUGAUUGUUACGUGUAUUUGUUCCUAAACUUUGGAUCCAUGUUCUGGCUAUAGUUUCUUCCAAUAAUGGUAAGUAGCUACUUUUUCUUAGCUUCAGCAUUCGUGUGACAUUGACUUGUUAGAUUGUGUAAUGCCUCUGUGGGUUAUCAGCUCAGAAUAGUGCCUUUAUUUGUACACUCAUAACUUAAAUAUCCUUGGUUACCCAUAUGAUCUGAUAUGGUAUAUUUCAUGGAAUUGACGUGAACAAUGAUUUUUCUCAGUCUUAUAAGGGAUUGUUUUGAGCUAACAGUAAUUGUUUCAUCAUUACUCUGUAUCUUUCAAAAAUAUGAAUGAACAUUCCGCCUUUAUUUACAUUGCUACUCGAGAGUGAAUUGCUAAUAAAUAAUAAAUUAUUAAUUCAAUUUUUUAAUUUUUGUUCACAAUCUGUUCUGACAGGACAGGAAAAAGUAGCAUACACCAAUUUUUUUCAAGUUUCAUUCUAUUCACUUCAACCAUAGUAGGUGCUGCUUGUAAACUUUAAAAUUUCCACCACACUUUUACUUACAGUUGUGAUUAGGAGAUUCAUUACUGCUAUCAAUCAUAAUUGUCCUUUACAUUAGAAGAUUUAGAAGUGCCAGGCUGUGAGUGUCUGCCAAUUUUUGAAAAUUGAAUUUCAUUUUUGGAAAUGUAUCAUGGAGUGGCCUUAUAUUUCAGGUACCCAACCGAAGAACCCUCAGAGGGGCUGCUUGGUGUUCAGUUUCUGGAUGCACCAACAAUUCAAAGAACUCAGAAGAAACAAAUUUCUUCUACUUUCCCGCCGAUGAAAACAGGCUCGGUUAAACCUGGUACCUACCAGCUACUCACUGAUACCAGAAAGCAGUAGCAGUGAUGCCUCCAUGAAAAUUCACGAUUUGCACAUUCACUAUGAAUUGACACUUGGCUCCUAAAACUCAAAGGUGAGUUUCGAACACUGCUCAUGCCUUAAUCAUCAGAGAAAUUAUUACAAAUAUGAUAUUAAUACUUCAACUUAGUCAUUAUCUUAAUUUAACAAUACGAAUUUCUAUUAAGGGAACGAGGGGGAUUUGGCAUUAUCUGACAUGUCUUUUUUUUUAUCAGUUUGGACCUAGUCUUCGACAAUCAUAUGAUUUUGACGAGAAUGAUGUAGAAAACUUUGAUUAACAUGA
rnacentral:lncRNA from 1 species